rnacentral:lncRNA from 1 species
UUCAAGUUAAGUAGAAAAUACUUAAGAAAAAUGAGUAAUGAUCUAAUAAGUGUAUAUUUUAAACAGAAAAUGCCUCCAAGAGACAUCAACUAUGACAACAAACCCCUGAGGGGUCUACCAAUAAUAACAAUGUCAAUGAUAACCCAAUUCAGCAGUUUGUGACUUUACUGACGGGAGCACUGCAAAAUCAGCCGCAGAAUCAAGCUGCAAAGUUUAAAGAUUUUAAAGCGAUUGGACUGCCAGAAUUUCAUGGGUCAAUGAAUCCAGUGGAGGCACAGACCUGGAUCAUGGAAAUAAAGGUGUUUUGAUUUAUUUUAUUUGCAUUUUUUGGUUAACAAAUGACUAAAAAGUCCCUUAACAAUUGAGUUAAAGUUUGGGCUUUAAAUUUAAUUAGUUUGGGCUUCAUAAACAAUUAUUUGGGCCAUAUAAAUUAGAUUAGGUCAAACACUUUUAAUGUUACCUCACUCUAAUCAUUUAAUUAGGGGUUUCAUUCACUCAUUUGUAAUUUAAAUAAUCACUCAUGUACAUUAAAUUUUAAAAACCAAU